UACGUAGGGUGCGAGCGUUAAUCGGAAUUACUGGGCGUAAAGUGUGCGCAGGCGGCCGAGCAAGUCGAGUGUGAAAGCCCCGAGCUUAACUUGGGAACUGCGCUCGAAACUACUUGGCUAGAGUGUGGCAGAGGGAGGUGGAAUUCCACGUGUAGCGGUGAAAUGCGUAGAGAUGUGGAGGAACACCGAUGGCGAAGGCAGCCUCCUGGGCCAACACUGACGCCCAUGCACGAAAGCGUGGGGAGCAAACAGG
rnacentral:rRNA from 1 species